UCGAACCCCGGUUCGAAUUCCGCACUACCGUGGCCGCGAGAAAGAAACCGAGGAGGAACAAGAAGAGGGCGAGGACGAGGACGAGGAAAAGGAAGAAGAAACAAAAACAACGAAGGAAAGAUCGGUAAAAAAAGGUGACCGAAAAAGGAGAGGCGAAAAAAAAAGAAAAGGAAAGAAAAAGGCACGUGUGUCGUGUGAGAAAGAAACAAGUAAAAUAGGAGAAAGAAGGGACAAAGGGAAAAGGUACGUCGCGUGAAGAAACUUCCUGCCUUCCUGUGUACCUGUGUAGAAAAAACAAGGGGUCCAAAAGAGGUGGGAUGGCCGCGGGGUAGAGGAUGGGGGCAGAGGCGCGUUCGACGAUGGAGCAGCGGGUCGAGUGAUAAAAAAGCGAGUAAAAAAGCGAGCAAGAAGGUUGGACAGCGUGCUCCCGGUCGUUAGUGAGGUGCAAGUAAAAGAAGGAUGAAAAAGGCAUUGUUGCUCGAGCCGAGUCCACUCUUGUGUUUUUUUGUCUUUUUCCUCUCUCCAUCCUUCUUCUUUCCCUUCCAUUUUUCUUUUCUCUCUUUCUUUCUUUUUUCUUUCUCUCUUUUUUUUUUUGCUUCUUUAAUGCCCACUUCUUUUUGACUCAAGUGAAUGUGUGUCGCGUGUGAGAAGGUUGGAGUUUUUUUUCACGUGCUUUGGAAGACUAACGUGGUUAAAACGAUGUUGUGUUUUUUUUGAAGAAAAAAAGAGGAAAAAAAGAAAGAAUAAAAGAUUUGUGGUAAUUUUUUUUUUCUUUUUCUCUGGUGUGUCGUUUCGAAGGAAAGGGACGGGAGAAAGAUUUUGGAGUAAGGAAUCACGUGAGAAGAAGAAUUGGCGAUAUUUUUUUCGAAGAUGGAAAGCGUGGAGUUGUACCUUCGGGGUCGUGGAUAUUUUCUGCGACGAUGAUUCAGAGACGGGCAGCGAUCAUAUGGCGCGUAUUUACGACGCGAAACGAUCGUGAUUCGACAGCGAGAGAUUGACAAGCGGGACAAGAGCACUGAGAAUAUAAUAAAUAUUGAAUAAUGAAGUGUGAAACAACUGGAUCUAUACUCUGAAGAAAAUUCCAUAUGCAAAAGAGAAAUUCUUGCUUGUGUAAAAACUAUAAAGAUCACAAUACAAUAUAACUUGGCCAAAUAUAAACUAUAUGAAAUAAAAAAGAAACGACACAGUUUGGAAACAAAUCUACUCUCUACAAAAUCUAUAUAGAAAAUGAAGAACGAAAUCUUUAACAUCUGAAGAAUCUAAAGUUAAACAAAAGAAGAUCCUAUUAUUUCACAUAACAAUUAAAAAAGAACAAUGAUCUAUUGCUCAAAACUCAUCUCCAUUCUUCUAAAAAGUUCCUUCAUAAAAAAGAAAAACAAAAAAAACUAGAAAAACUCAAUCAAUAAAAAUUAAAACCAAGAAUUCAAUAGAAUCCGUAAUCCAUCUACACGAAAAUAAGAAAAAAUUUCAAAGAAAAUGCUCAUCAGAAAUUUUCACCGUGAAUCUCCAACGUCGAAUCGAAAUUUCCUCAACAAAAAUAACGACGAGGAAACCAGCAACUCCGUCUCAAAAUCCAUCUCCAAUCUUCCGAAAGAUCCUCCCCUCUUGUAGGGAAGAG